rnacentral:rRNA from 1 species
UACGUAGGGGGCAAGCGUUGUCCGGAAUCAUUGGGCGUAAAGCGCGCGUAGGUGGCCCGGUAAGUCCGCUCUGAAAGUCAAAGGCUCAACCUUUGAAAGCGGGUGGAUACUGCCGGGCUAGAGUCCGGAAGAGGCGAGUGGAAUUCCUGGUGUAGCGGUGGAAUGCGCAGAUAUCAGGAGGAACACCAACGGCGAAGGCAGCUCUCUGGGACGGUACUGACGCUGAGACGCGAAAGCGUGGGGAGCGAACAGG